AGGACCACUCCAGGGAUUGAGAGAGAAGGGUAUUGCUGUAGACCAGGGGUCCCCAACCACCGGUCCGCGACCCACUACCGGGCCGCAGCCGUCUGACAGCCGGGUCGCAAGAGAACUGCCGGCAACGGAGACUCACUCAGACUUUUCAGAAUGCUUGGCGGGCGUGGCUUUGCAGCGGCACAGAGAGAGACUGAGUGACUGUGUGGCUGCAGAAGGGCAGCUGACUCAAGAACAAGGGGCUCAGGUUUAUGAGGCUGCAGAGAUCAGCUGGGCCUCCAGGAGGACUCAACAUAAAAACUGUUGGAGUUCAUCAUAAAAGGCCAUGGAGCAGAUGACCACUUGCUGGUAACUUAGUUCAGUUAACAAGUAAAAAUUUGUUAUUGCAAUCUAUCUAGUAGCAAAGAGCUAUGAUGACUUUAUAGCACCAAACUCUUGUAUUUGCUUGUCCAACAGGCUGUUGUAUCUGAAAAGGUGUCAUCCAAAAGGUUUAAAAAUGACAAAGAUCCUAAAAGUCACCGGGUAAUAACCUCUAUACAGUAGAAGUAGAGGCCAUCUGUCAGCUCUUCAUCAACUACCUGAUGAAGUGCUAUCAAGAGCUGUAGGUACUUUUGAAAAGAUCGACAGAGUUCACAUCAUUCUGGGUGUGCUGAUUUGGCUUCAGUGAGUCUCUAAUGAGUACAGAAAGUAUCUCUAUGAGUGACGUCCUCUCUGUUUCUUUUUUGGUGAUUGGCUCUUAUUAAAGCUCGAGGAACAGUUGAGAGGAUUUCUCUACCAGAGGCAGAAGGUCUGUUCAUUGAUGGACCAGCAGACGGUGAGUGAAGAGUUUGACAAACUUGAGCUUCAACUGUUGGAGUACAAAGACAGACAGCAUCACUGUGACAUCUCAACUUGGGAUUCCAUUUCAGCGCCUCCUCUGAUAAACGCGUCACUGGCUUUAUUUGUCUUUGGCCUUUUUUAUUUCUGAGUGUUAAACUGACUGUGCAUAAUAGAGUUGUGUAGAUUUGAUUUAACUAUUGAUGUAAACAAUAAAGGACACUUUGUUGAUUAA